AGUGAACGCUGGCGGUAGGCCUAACACAUGCAAGUCGAACGGCAGCACAGUAAGAGCUUGCUCUUACGGGUGGCGAGUGGCGGACGGGUGAGGAAUACAUCGGAAUCUACUUUUUCGUGGGGGAUAACGUAGGGAAACUUACGCUAAUACCGCAUACGACCUACGGGUGAAAGCAGGGGAUCUUCGGACCUUGCGCGAUUGAAUGAGCCGAUGUCGGAUUAGCUAGUUGGCGGUGUAAAGGCCCACCAAGGCGACGAUCCGUAGCUGGUCUGAGAGGAUGAUCAGCCACACUGGAACUGAGACACGGUCCAGACUCCUACGGGAGGCAGCAGUGGGGAAUAUUGGACAAAGGGCGCAAGCCUGAUCCAGCCAUACCGCGUGGGUGAAGAAGGCCUUCGGGUUGUAAAGCCCUUUUGUUGGGAAAGAAAAGCAGCAGGUUAAUACCCCGCUGUUCUGACGGUACCCAAAGAAUAAGCACCGGCUAACUUCGUG
rnacentral:rRNA from 1 species